rnacentral:rRNA from 1 species
GGGUUGUGAGGUUAAGCGACUAAGCGUACACGGUGGAUGCCCUGGCAGUCAGAGGCGAUGAAGGACGUGCUAAUCUGCGAUAAGCGUCGGUAAGGUGAUAUGAACCGUUAUAACCGGCGAUUUCCGAAUGGGGAAACCCAGUGUGAUUCGUCACACUAUCAUUAACUGAAUCCAUAGGUUAAUGAGGCGAACCGGGGGAACUGAAACAUCUAAGUACCCCGAGGAAAAGAAAUCAACCGAGAUUCCCCCAGUAGCGGCGAGCGAACGGGGAGCAGCCCAGAGCCUGAAUCAGUGUGUGUGUUAGUGGAAGCGUCUGGAAAGGCGUGCGAUACAGGGUGACAGCCCCGUACACAAAAAUGCACAUACUGUGAGCUCGAUGAGUAGGGCGGGACACGUGGUAUCCUGUCUGAAUAUGGGGGGACCAUCCUCCAAGGCUAAAUACUCCUGACUGACCGAUAGUGAACCAGUACCGUGAGGGAAAGGCGAAAAGAACCCCGGCGAGGGGAGUGAAAAAGAACCUGAAACCGUGUACGUACAAGCAGUGGGAGCACGCUUAGGCGUGUGACUGCGUACCUUUUGUAUAAUGGGUCAGCGACUUAUAUUCUGUAGCAAGGUUAACCGAAUAGGGGAGCCGAAGGGAAACCGAGUCUUAACUGGGCGUUAAGUUGCAGGGUAUAGACCCGAAACCCGGUGAUCUAGCCAUGGGCAGGUUGAAGGUUGGGUAACACUAACUGGAGGACCGAACCGACUAAUGUUGAAAAAUUAGCGGAUGACUUGUGGCUGGGGGUGAAAGGCCAAUCAAACCGGGAGAUAGCUGGUUCUCCCCGAAAGCUAUUUAGGUAGCGCCUCGUGAAUUCAUCUCCGGGGGUAGAGCACUGUUUCGGCAAGGGGGUCAUCCCGACUUACCAACCCGAUGCAAACUGCGAAUACCGGAGAAUGUUAUCACGGGAGACACACGGCGGGUGCUAACGUCCGUCGUGAAGAGGGAAACAACCCAGACCGCCAGCUAAGGUCCCAAAGUCAUGGUUAAGUGGGAAACGAUGUGGGAAGGCCCAGACAGCCAGGAUGUUGGCUUAGAAGCAGCCAUCAUUUAAAGAAAGCGUAAUAGCUCACUGGUCGAGUCGGCCUGCGCGGAAGAUGUAACGGGGCUAAACCAUGCACCGAAGCUGCGGCAGCGACGCUUAUGCGUUGUUGGGUAGGGGAGCGUUCUGUAAGCCUGUGAAGGUGUGCUGUGAGGUAUGCUGGAGGUAUCAGAAGUGCGAAUGCUGACAUAAGUAACGAUAAAGCGGGUGAAAAGCCCGCUCGCCGGAAGACCAAGGGUUCCUGUCCAACGUUAAUCGGGGCAGGGUGAGUCGACCCCUAAGGCGAGGCCGAAAGGCGUAGUCGAUGGGAAACAGGUUAAUAUUCCUGUACUUGGUGUUACUGCGAAGGGGGGACGGAGAAGGCUAUGUUGGCCGGGCGACGGUUGUCCCGGUUUAAGCGUGUAGGCUGGUUUUCCAGGCAAAUCCGGAAAAUCAAGGCCGAGGCGUGAUGACGAGGCACUACGGUGCUGAAGCAACAAAUGCCCUGCUUCCAGGAAAAGCCUCUAAGCAUCAGGUAACAUCAAAUCGUACCCCAAACCGACACAGGUGGUCAGGUAGAGAAUACCAAGGCGCUUGAGAGAACUCGGGUGAAGGAACUAGGCAAAAUGGUGCCGUAACUUCGGGAGAAGGCACGCUGAUACGUAGGUGAAGCGACUUGCUCGUGGAGCUGAAAUCAGUCGAAGAUACCAGCUGGCUGCAACUGUUUAUUAAAAACACAGCACUGUGCAAACACGAAAGUGGACGUAUACGGUGUGACGCCUGCCCGGUGCCGGAAGGUUAAUUGAUGGGGUUAGCGCAAGCGAAGCUCUUGAUCGAAGCCCCGGUAAACGGCGGCCGUAACUAUAACGGUCCUAAGGUAGCGAAAUUCCUUGUCGGGUAAGUUCCGACCUGCACGAAUGGCGUAAUGAUGGCCAGGCUGUCUCCACCCGAGACUCAGUGAAAUUGAACUCGCUGUGAAGAUGCAGUGUACCCGCGGCAAGACGGAAAGACCCCGUGAACCUUUACUAUAGCUUGACACUGAACAUUGAGCCUUGAUGUGUAGGAUAGGUGGGAGGCUUUGAAGUGUGGACGCCAGUCUGCAUGGAGCCGACCUUGAAAUACCACCCUUUAAUGUUUGAUGUUCUAACGUGGACCCGUAAUCCGGGUUGCGGACAGUGUCUGGUGGGUAGUUUGACUGGGGCGGUCUCCUCCUAAAGAGUAACGGAGGAGCACGAAGGUUGGCUAAUCCUGGUCGGACAUCAGGAGGUUAGUGCAAUGGCAUAAGCCAGCUUGACUGCGAGCGUGACGGCGCGAGCAGGUGCGAAAGCAGGUCAUAGUGAUCCGGUGGUUCUGAAUGGAAGGGCCAUCGCUCAACGGAUAAAAGGUACUCCGGGGAUAACAGGCUGAUACCGCCCAAGAGUUCAUAUCGACGGCGGUGUUUGGCACCUCGAUGUCGGCUCAUCACAUCCUGGGGCUGAAGUAGGUCCCAAGGGUAUGGCUGUUCGCCAUUUAAAGUGGUACGCGAGCUGGGUUUAGAACGUCGUGAGACAGUUCGGUCCCUAUCUGCCGUGGGCGCUGGAGAACUGAGGGGGGCUGCUCCUAGUACGAGAGGACCGGAGUGGACGCAUCACUGGUGUUCGGGUUGUCAUGCCAAUGGCACUGCCCGGUAGCUAAAUGCGGAAGAGAUAAGUGCUGAAAGCAUCUAAGCACGAAACUUGCCCCGAGAUGAGUUCUCCCUGACCCUUUAAGGGUCCUGAAGGAACGUUGAAGACGACGACGUUGAUAGGCCGGGUGUGUAAGCGCAGCGAUGCGUUGAGCUAACCGGUACUAAUGAACCGUGAGGCUUAACCUUACAACGCCGAAGGUGUUU